rnacentral:sRNA from 1 species
ACUGAAAUCCUUUCUGUAGUCACAAAACAGAUACAGCAUUGGCAGUACUAGCACAGGCUUCCCCACAUUGCUCUGCCACUGUGUUUCUAUAAUGGCCAUUCUAAUAGUGCAAUAGGUCGGCCCAUUCAGU